CUCUGUGCAGCGUCUUAUCUUUUUAUAUGCAGUCUAUUGCGACUGUAUCAGCGUUUUUCUGCCAACGUUAGCUGACGUCAUGUCGUCAUUGGUCAAGACGUGUCUCCUCAUUGGCCACGAUCUUUUGGGAGGAGCGCAGAGAAGCGGAGAAAGGAAGUUGGAAAACAUAUUUAAACCAAGUUUGAAGACGUGCUCCGGUUUGUCAGUACUGUGAGAAAACGUCUUCAUAGAAGAAGCCUGGAUGCUAAAACAACCUCUGGAGCAGAUUUUUUGUAGCUGCUUUUUUGUCGAACGCGAGUGAGACUGGAGUGAAUACACCUGCGGCGCAAAGGUUUACUCGUUCAGCUGCUGCAACCUGGACAGAAACAGCAGCUUUCACCUUACAGACCAAACAGGUGUCACCACUUCAUUCACAAUCACAGAGACGUCAUCCACGAUCACAGAGUCUUCGUACAAUAAAGUAGUUCUUUGAGACCAGGACAGAGGCCUCCAGAAUUCAAACUUGAACCAUUAAAUCACAGAGAAGAGACAGACGUGAAGACAUUUCCAGAAGGUCUUCAGCUGCUGUCGUCUUCUCCUCCUGCAGAGACAAGAACAUGUGUUAAUCACAGAAACUGAUCAGUAAUUCAAAAUAUUUUCAUGACAUACUAUUCUGACAUUUUUUGAAAUGUUUUUUUUGUCAGUUUUUGAUGUCUUACUGUACUAUGACAUGUGGCUUAAGACAAAAGAACUUAAAGUAGCCAUCUUACUUUUGUUUUCCACAGAUACACAUUCACACACUACGCUGCGUGAUUGUGGGUUAGGUCAGAUUUUAAUUUUGAAAUUUUGCUAUUUCGAACAGUGCACUAUCAGCACUCAAAUACAAUCUAUUACUGUGAACAUACUCCUUUUCAUACUGUUCAUAUUGUUUAAUAUUUAUAUAUUAUUGUAUAUAUAAUGCCCUUUUCUAUUUUUGCUGUUGCAACCCUGAAUUUUCACACUGUGGGACUGAUAAAGGAUUUUCUUUACUCAAAUAAA